rnacentral:rRNA from 1 species
UGUGGGGAAUUUUCCGCAAUGGGCGAAAGCCUGACGGAGCAAUACCGCGUGAGGGAGGAAGGCUCUUGGGUUGUAAACCUCUUUUCUCAGGGAAUAAUAAGUUGAAGGUACCUGAGGAAUAAGCAUCGGCUAACUCCGUGCCAGCAGCCGCGGUAAUACGGAGGAUGCAAGCGUUAUCCGGAAUGAUUGGGCGUAAAGCGUCCGCAGGUGGUUUAUCAAGUCUGCUGUCAAAGCGUCUGGCUUAACUAGAUAAAGGCAGUGGAAACUGAGAGACUGGAGUAUGGUAGGGGUAGAGGGAAUUCCCGGUGUAGCGGUGAAAUGCGUAGAGAUCGGGAAGAACACCGGUGGCGAAAGCGCUCUGCUGGACCAUAACUGACACUGAGGACGAAGCU